rnacentral:miRNA from 2 species
UCUUGGUUGCUCGGUCUUUAGG